UGGUCGUCUCCAGUCUGCAGUAGAUCC
rnacentral:piRNA from 1 species